GCCUUGGUUGCUCAGUGGUUAAGCACUUGGCUGCUAACCAAAAGGCCUAUGGUUCAAGCCCACAGCUGCUGCA
rnacentral:tRNA from 1 species